rnacentral:rRNA from 1 species
AACGAACGCUGGCGGCAUGCCUAACACAUGCAAGUCGAACGGGAUCCAGGCUUCGGCCUGGUGAGAGUGGCGGACGGGUGAGUAACACGUGGGAACCUGCCUUUUGGUUCGGGAUAACCGCGGGAAACUGCGGCUAAUACCGGAUGCUCCCGAGAGGGGAAAGAUUUAUCGCCAGAAGAGGGGCCCGCGUCCGAUUAGGUAGUUGGUGAGGUAAUGGCUCACCAAGCCGACGAUCGGUAGCUGGUCUGAGAGGAUGAUCAGCCACACUGGGACUGAGAUACGGCCCAGACUCCUACGGGAGGCAGCAGUGGGGAAUAUUGGGACAAUGGGGGCAACCCUGAUCCAGCAAUGCCGCGUGAGUGAUGAAGGCCUUAGGGUUGUAAAGCUCUUUUGCCAGGGAAGAUGAUGACUGUACCUGGAGAAUAAGCCCCGGCUAACUUCGUGCCAGCAGCCGCGGU